UACGUAGGCAGCGAGCGUUGUUCGGAGUUACUGGGCGUAAAGGGUGUGUAGGCGGUUCUCUAAGUUUGGUGUGAAAUCUCCCGGCUCAACCGGGAGGGUGCGCCGAAAACUGGGGGACUCGAGUGCGGGAUGGGAGAGUAGAAUUCCUGGUGUAGCGGUGAAAUGCGUAGAUAUCAGGAGGAACACCAGUGGCGAAGGCGGCUGCCUGGAGCUUUGCUGACGCUGAUGCGCGAAAGCGUGGGGAGCGAUCCGG
rnacentral:rRNA from 1 species